rnacentral:lncRNA from 1 species
GAGCCGGCCCAGAGUUAGGAGGUGAAGGGGUCCCAAAGCCCGAAUGCCACGUGAGGUCCUGGCGGGAUUCUGGAACAGGAAAGGGCGUCACUGGGAUGACAGGUGGGGAAGGUCUCCAGGUGCAUGGCACACCUGCUGCCCUGGCUCUCCAGCCAGGCUCCCCAGGGAGGAAGCAGUGGCCCCUCCCCCAGCACAGGCUCCUCCCCUGGCAAGGCCCCUCCCCCAGCACAGGCCCCUCCCCUGGCACAGGCCCCUCCCCACACACAGGCCCCUCCCCUGGCACAGGCCCCUCCUCCCACACAGGCCCCUCCCCCAGCAAGGCCCCUCCCCUGACUGCGCCCCAGACACAGACGCUCACUGGGCGGAGUGGAGCGUGGACAUGUGGGCCCCAGGUGGGCAGACAGCCCCGUGAGCCGGCGGUGACCAUCUGGGGCAGGAUGGGAGCACAGGGGCCCCGCCGCACGUUCCCCGCUGACCGGGAGACGAGGCCCUUCAGUGCGGCCCUGCGAUGCUGCCCGAGCGCCGAGCCCCCCCUCCCUGGUUCAGACUCUGGAACCGCGUGGGCAGGAUGGGCUCCUGCGGCCCAGGCGGGAGGCUUUGUUUCCUUGCCGAGACGCUCCUUUCAGAAGCCGCUGGAGUGUGGGCGCUGAAGGCGCCCAGGGGCUGUUUUCUUUUCGGUUCAUUGAGCGCCUCUUGUGACGUCCUGAAUGGACGAGUUAACUUACAACCCUGUUUACCUGGAACGCGUACCCACAAGGCCAGGCGUCUCGGCAGGACGAACACCUGCUGUGGGGAGCCCUGCGCUGCCCAACCAAAUGACUUUCAGCAAAGGGAGAGAGGACCCACGCAUUUUGAUUUUAGUGCUGAAGUACCUGACUGGGUUCCCUAGGCCAGCGACGUUUCAGACAUUACUAUUACCAUUAUUGUCGUCAUUGCUUAUUUUAUUUAGCAGGAAACCCUUUCUUCAGACCGGGUCCGGUAUGGAGAUCUGGCAUGUGAAUAGAUGGAAGUGGAGUGGGUGCCCUCUGGGGAGGAGCAGUGGAGCUUGAGUGACCUUUGAGGCACAAAGGGGGCCACCUCAGGCCCUGACGCCUUCUCACCCCGCUGCAGCCCCGGGGCCCCUCCAGGCUCUCUAGGACCCGGGACGGCUGUUCGAAUGGCAUCAAUCCAGCCCACAUCCUGCUUUGAUAAUCCCACCGUUCUCUCCUGAAGCCAGACGCAUCCAUUCUUAUUGUCACUGCUGUUAUUCACGCAUUCAGCAACUACAUACUAAGUGCCUGCUGUGUGCUGAGCCCUGUGUCAUGAUGGUGCAGAGAUGGACAGAGUGCUAGCUGGACGGGAGCGUGAGGAAGGUGGUCGGGAAAGUUCCUGAGGAGCUGGAGGAGGGACUGAGCCAGUAUUUGCAUCCUGUCCAGCAUCAGUCACAGGCAUUUCCAACCUCAGGAAUGUGGGCACGGCAGGAAGGCAGAGUAACGCCAGGAGACGGUUGGUGAGCUCAAUGUGUGAUAGUGGCGGAAGCUACACCGGGGGCAGGGAGUGGAGGGCACAGUGUGGCUAGCCCGGGGCGGCCCCCUGCACGGUCUGUAGACCUUCCUCACCGGCCUGCGAUGGAGAAGCAGGCGUUCGCAGAAAACACUUAGGCAGGUUCGCGGCAGCUUCUGGAAGGUGGUGGGGCCUACUGAGCAGGUGCGGACAGCGGAUGCUGACGGACGCGCCUGGCGAGCUGCAGGCGAUGCGGGUCCACGUCCGCCACUUGCGGGAACUGACUGCAAAUUAGGAAAAGGGAAACUGGUCUGCACCACAGACGUUGAGAAACGGAG